GUUGCAAAUUGCUUCUUCAGCAAAGGCAAAGUGACGGAAUCCGACCUGAUCGCCAAUGACACCACCAACACCGUGUUUAAGUUUGACAACUCUACGGGAACAUCAACGGAAACUGCCAAUGGAACAUCACCAGAAUCUGCUAAUGCAACUGCCUCAGACACAGGUUUGUUCGUAUCGUCGGCCAAAUCCCCGGAUGGAACUUUGGACAACCAGAACGCGACCUGCCAAGCGGACGGAGGCAGGCCGGCUCUGCUCACGUCUAAUGCUCUCGUAGAGGAAAUCGUACGACGGUU